UACGGGGGGAGCAAGCGUUGUUCGGAUUUACUGGGCGUAAAGGGCGCGUAGGCGGUCGUGACAAGUCACUUGUGAAAUCUCCGGGCUUAACUCGGAACGGUCAAGUGAUACUGUCGGACUAGAGUACAGAAGGGGCAACUGGAAUUCUCGGCGUAGCGGUGAAAUGCGUAGAUAUCGAGAGGAACACCUGCGGCGAAGGCGGGUUGCUGGGCUGAUACUGACGCUGAUGCGCGAAAGCCAGGGGAGCGAACGGG
rnacentral:rRNA from 1 species